UACGGGGGGAGCAAGCGUUGUUCGGAUUUACUGGGCGUAAAGGGCUCGUAGGCGGCCAACUAAGUCAGACGUGAAAUCCCUCGGCUUAACCGGGGAACUGCGUCUGAUACUGGAUGGCUGGAGGUUGGGAGAGGGAUGCGGAAUUCCAGGUGUAGCGGUGAAAUGCGUAGAUAUCUGGAGGAACACCGGUGGCGAAGGCGGCAUCCUGGACCAAUUCUGACGCUGAGGAGCGAAAGCCAGGGGAGCAAACGGU
rnacentral:rRNA from 1 species